UUGGAGGGCAAGUCUGGUGCCAGCAGCCGCGGUAAUUCCAGCUCCAAUAGCGUAUAUUAAAGUUGUUGCAGUUAAAAAGCUCGUAGUUGAACUUCGGGGUUUACCCAUUGGUCAGGCUUAAUUGUCUGCACUGGUGAGAUAAAUCUCUACCUUCUGAGGAACCUUCAUGCCAUUUAUUUGGUGUGAUGGGAAGUCAGGACUGUUACUUUGAAAAAAUUAGAGUGUUUAAAGCAGGCUAACGUCUGAAUACAUUAGCAUGGAAUAA
rnacentral:rRNA from 1 species